AUGGAGAAUGCAUUGCUGAAGCUUUGGUCAAUGGUUGAAGAGAGCAAGUCUGCUAGGGUGAAUGAUAAUCUUCAAAGUGCUCUAACUAUUCAUCAGUUGAUAGAAGAAAAGAACAAGCUGGAUGCAGACUAUGACAAGUUAGUGAAAGAUGUGCAUCAACUUGUGGACUUUCAGCAGGAUAGGGUUGUGGAUUUCAGUUAUCUGCAGUCUGCUGUCACAUAUCAGCACCAAUGCAGAGCUGAAUUGGUGGCUGGUAUGAAUGCAGAAAUGGCAAAGAAAGAUGCAGCUGCACAGAAGCUUCAACAAAAGUAUGAACUCCUGUGCAACCUGACAAGUGCUCAAGCAACUGUCAUCCAAAACUUGAAGUUGAAGAAUAUGAAAGAGAAGGAAUUGUUGAGUGAGGGUAGGAUGAAUUUGGAGUUGAAGAAUGCAGAGUUCACAAAGUUUGAGGAGAAGCUCACCCAAGAGAAGCUAGAGUUGAAGCUCCAGGUUGCUGAUCUGCUGAAACUCAAGGAAAACCAUAAUGAAGAGAAGCAGAUGCAAGAGUUCAAGAUUACUGAGCUCAUCAAGGCAGAGGAGAAGCUGAAGGAGAAGAUCAAGGGGAUCCAGGCCAUCUUGCAGAACUGA
rnacentral:rRNA from 1 species